rnacentral:rRNA from 1 species
GAGUUCUCGUUGAUGAUCGGUGCUUGCACCGAGAUUCAACAUGGAACGAGUGGCGGACGGGUGAGUAACACGUGGGUAACCUGCCCUUAAGUGGGGGAUAACAUUUGGAAACAGAUGCUAAUACCGCAUAGAUCCAAGAACCGCAUGGUUCUUGGCUGAAAGAUGGCGUAAGCUAUCGCUUUUGGAUGGACCCGCGGCGUAUUAGCUAGUUGGUGAGGUAAUGGCUCACCAAGGCGAUGAUACGUAGCCGAACUGAGAGGUUGAUCGGCCACAUUGGGACUGAGACACGGCCCAAACUCCUACGGGAGGCAGCAGUAGGGAAUCUUCCACAAUGGACGCAAGUCUGAUGGAGCAACGCCGCGUGAGUGAAGAAGGCUUUCGGGUCGUAAAACUCUGUUGUUGGAGAAGAAUGGUCGGCAGAGUAACUGUUGUCGGCGUGACGGUAUCCAACCAGAAAGCCACGGCUAACUACGUGCCAGCAGCCGCGGUAAUACGUAGGUGGCAAGCGUUAUCCGGAUUUAUUGGGCGUAAAGCGAGCGCAGGCGGUUUUUUAAGUCUGAUGUGAAAGCCCUCGGCUUAACCGAGGAAGCGCAUCGGAAACUGGGAAACUUGAGUGCAGAAGAGGACAGUGGAACUCCAUGUGUAGCGGUGAAAUGCGUAGAUAUAUGGAAGAACACCAGUGGCGAAGGCGGCUGUCUGGUCUGUAACUGACGCUGAGGCUCGAAAGCAUGGGUAGCGAACAGGAUUAGAUACCCUGGUAGUCCAUGCCGUAAACGAUGAAUGCUAGGUGUUGGAGGGUUUCCGCCCUUCAGUGCCGCAG